rnacentral:lncRNA from 1 species
CACGAGCAAGAGUCACGUGUGCACACAGCCAAGCAGACACGGACUGUAAACACGAGUGAGAGAGAAGAAGAUAGUUUUAUACCGGAGAGGAACGUCUGAGCAGCCGAGUUUGCAAUGAUAAGCUAGCAAAGCUCUUAUGUCUCACUUAUUGGGCCUGAUGUUAGUCACUGAUGUUCGUGUGUGUGAGCCACGGCAGACUCCACUUCCUCCUGUGCCAUGCUAUUGUUAGCUUCUCAAACACGGGAGCUCUCUGAAGAGAUGUUUUGAAACCAUCAGCCACUGAAAAAUAAUGAAGAUUCCAGCAAAGCAAAACAGCAGCAAGCAGAACCUUCCAUGACAGCACAGGAACAUGAUGAAGAUGCCAGCCAGCCAUGCAAACAUAGAGCAGAGACACUCACAAUAAGUCAACUGGUGACACUCUUACUGGUCGGAAUCUUUCUCUGUGUGCCAUGUUCAUCACUCCUUUCUGUCUCUUUAUCGUUCUUUGUUAUUAUUGACAAGGGUUUUCUCCUCAGGAAAGUGAUGAAGAUGCCAGAAAAACAAAUGAGCUGAGAGUAGAAACUUCAACAAUAAGCCAUGUAAGACAAGAGUAUUGUUUUCUGUCUCUCUCAAAUUACAGUCUCUAAAGCCUUGUUCCUGUCCCAGACUCAAUGCUCCCCUUCUAGUCUCUUUUUUAAAUGAAUAUUGGGCAUGUGUGUUCUUCCAAGGAUAGUGAUGAAGAUGACAGCCAAACAGAAGAGCAGAGAGCAGAAACUUUUAAUGAAGCACAGAGCUCUCAGAGCAAUGAUGACGCUGGCAGCCAAACAGAAGUGCAAAGAGCAGACCUUUCCACAUUGGAACAGAAAGAACUUCAGCAUAUUGUUCACCUGUGGAACACCCACAUCAUUCAGAGAAGCAGAAAUGCAGUUGCACCAAGUGGCCGGCCUCACAUGAUGUACAUGCUUCCUCAGCUUUUUGGGGAAAGGACCAUCUCAAACAUGCAUCUGUGCAAGCAGUACAAACAUGCAGAGCACAAUGCAUACAACGAUGGACCUUACCCAUGUGAUGAGACUGCCAUCCACUGGAAGGAUAAGGUGAACACAGACAACUUCCUUCAUCUCCCAUCCACAAUUGAACUGUAUCUAUUUUUAAGAACUUGCACACGUAAAGAUUAG